GAUGAAGAACGCAGUGAAAUGCGAUAAGUAAUGUGAAUUGCAGAAUUCAGUGAAUCAUCGAAUCUUUGAACGCACAUUGCGCCCGCCAGUAUUCUGGCGGGCAUGCCUGUUCGAGCGUCAUUUCAACCAUCAAGCCCCCGGGCUUGUGUUGGGGACCUGCGGCUGCCGCAGGCCCUGAAAAGCAGUGGCGGGCUCGCUGUCACACCGAGCGUAGUAGCAUACAUCUCGCUCUGGGCGUGCUGCGGGUUCCGGCCGUUAAACCACCUUUUAACCCAAGGUUGACCUCGGAUCAGGUAGGAAGACCCGCUGAACUUAAGCAUAUCAAUAAGCGGAGGA
rnacentral:misc_RNA from 1 species